GACGAACGCUGGCGGCGUGCUUAACACAUGCAAGUCGAACGGAAAGGCCCCCACCUUGGUGGGGGUGCUCGAGUGGCGAACGGGUGAGUAACACGUGGGUGAUCUGCCCUGUACUUCGGGAUAAGCUUGGGAAACUGGGUCUAAUACCGGAUAGGACCAUGGUUUAGUGUCUCAUGGUGGAAAAAUUAUUGUUUUGGUGCAGGAUGAGCUCGCGGCCUAUCAGCUUGUUGGUGGGGUAAUGGCCUACCAAGGCGUCGACGGGUAGCCGGCCUGAGAGGGUGGACGGCCACAUUGGGACUGAGAUACGACCCAGACUCCUACGGGAGGCAGCAGUGGGGAAGAUUGCACAAUGGGCGCAAGACUGAUGCAGCGACGCCGCGUGGGGGAUGACGGCCUUCGGGUUGUAAACUCCUUUCGUUAGAGACGAAGCCACACCUUUUUUGGGUGUGGUGACGGUACCUUUGUUAAGAAGCACCGGCUAACUACGUG
rnacentral:rRNA from 1 species